AGAGUUUGAUCCUGGCUCAGGAUGAACGCUAGCGACAGGCUUAACACAUGCAAGUCGAGGGGCAGCACGGGGUAGCAAUACCCCGGUGGCGACCGGCGCACGGGUGAGUAACACGUGUGCAACCAACCCCGUACCGGGAGAUAACCCGCGGAAACGUGGACUAACACCCCAUAACACCUUUCCCCCGCAUGGGGGGGAGUUUAAAACCCCGGUGGUACGGGACGGGCACGCGCGACAUUAGGUAGUUGGCGGGGUAACGGCCCACCAAGCCGACGAUGUCUAGGGGUUCUGAGAGGAAGGUCCCCCACACUGGAACUGAGACACGGUCCAGACUCCUACGGGAGGCAGCAGUGAGGAAUAUUGGUCAAUGGGCGAGAGCCUGAACCAGCCAAGUCGCGUGAGGGAAGAAUGGUCUAUGGCCUGUAAACCUCUUUUGUCAAGGAAGAAUAAGCGGCACGAGUGCCACCUUGCCAGUACUUGACGAAUAAGCAUCGGCUAACUCCGUGCCAGCAGCCGCGGUAAUACGGGGGAUGCGAGCGUUAUCCGGAUUUAUUGGGUUUAAAGGGCGCGUAGGCGGGACGACAAGUCAGCGGUAAAAGACUGCAGCUAAACUGUAGCACGCCGUUGAAACUGUCGACCUGGAGACGAGACGAGGGAGGCGGAACAAGUGAAGUAGCGGUGAAAUGCAUAGAUAUCACUUGGAACCCCGAUAGCGAAGGCAGCUUCCCAGGCUCGGUCUGACGCUGAUGCGCGAGAGCGUGGGUAGCGAACAGGAUUAGAUACCCUGGUAGUCCACGCCGUAAACGAUGCUCACUGGAUCUUGGCGAUACACGGCCAGGGUUCAAGCGAAAGUAUUAAGUGAGCCACCUGGGGAGUACGUCGGCAACGAUGAAACUCAAAGGAAUUGACGGGGGCCCGCACAAGCGGAGGAACAUGUGGUUUAAUUCGAUGAUACGCGAGGA
rnacentral:rRNA from 1 species